CUACAUUUGAACAACAAAAAUUAUUAAACUAAUGUUAUUGAAUCACUAAAUCAAUUUUCGUAAUAUAAUGUCUUGCCCAAAAUUAUUCAAUGUCUAUUAAAGAACUAUUGGCUCUCCUCCAUUGAUGAAAAAAGGAAUAAAAACCCUAUCAUUUACUAAUGCAUGAAACUACCAAACCCAAGAAUAACUCUUCACAAACAAAAUUUGCAACUAUCCUUUUUUCAAAAAAUUAUUAAAAAGAAAAAAAAUCAUAUAAUUUAUCAUAAAAUAGUAACUUGGGAAAAAAGAAUGCUCAAAGUUCUAACAACUUCACCAACAGAUUCAAGCCACUAAGCAAGUUAUACACAAUUUGUUGGUGUUAUUCUGGUAUUUAGCAAGAAUUGCUAAAGAGGUACUAUUUCUGAAUGUCAAAAGUAAAAGAGAAGAGAAAGGGGUUCACGUUGAUUAAAGACUGAAGGAUUUUAUUUUUUUUUUGGUUAUACACACUCACCCAUUUACACACAUAAUGUAUGGCUCUUUUAUCACUCCAGUUAUAGAUCGAGCCUUUUGUGACAUAUUUGAAAGCAAAAAACUUUACCAUUAGGACAUAACUUCAGCCACAGAGAUAUAGAAUUGUGCGGUAAGAGCAUAAUCGAUCAAAAUACCCUUAGAAUUUUUUCCCUUCAAAGGUAGAUGAUUUUAUUUUAAAACUAAAAUGAAAUGUAUGGUUCACUUAGGACUACAAGCAUAGGGAAAAAAUAAAAAUUAUCCAACACAAAAACUCAAAGACCAAGAAUUAGAGAAAGAGAAUGUUAUUAGAUAGAACUUUCAUCUUCUUUCAAGGGUCACAACAGCGCAAAAGGAGGGAGGGAGAGAGAGAAUGAAUUCAUAUGGGUCUUCUUCCUUUUUCUAUAGCUCGACGAGCAAACUUUGCAACUAAGAGGGGAGAUCUUCUAACUUUUUCAAAGGUGAACUCGUUCUUUGUUCUCCAAAUCCACUAUGCAGAAUAAACGGCCAAAGUUGUUCUGUCUUCUCCUCAUCUUUCAUUCUCUACCGUGUUUAUAAAUCUUAACCACCACCUCCAUGGUUCUUUAAGUUGAGUUGGGACAAAUAUGGAGUUGGCUUUCCAGACUUCAAUUUAAUUGCAUCUGAACAUCCACAAAAACAGUAAUAAAUAGACUCAUCUUCAACUUGGCACUAUGAACAAAGUGACCAGAGUUCAUUGCCGCCACACUAUUUGGAGAGAAAGUAUGGGUUGAGAGAUGGAUCGGGAACUUGCGGGUUGGGGCGGAUGCCGAAUUCUUCGACUGGAGCAACGAGGGGGGAGAUACCUGCAAAGACACUCCGACGCUCAAGGCAAAAUGAAUCUGAGAGGUAUAAGGAGCUCUAAUGGGCCAGUAUAAAGCCUUCUAGAAGAGUGGUGCGGUUUAGUCCCGGGUAGUCAGCUUCAGAGGCUAUUCCGGGUAUGGAAUCUGUAGGCCGGAUCCAUAACAGUUGCCCCCGCAGCAGGAGAGCGAACAAGGUCGGUCUUCAUCGCUGGAGGAUACGGUUUUGGCCAUUCACGGCCUUCCUUGAUAUGCCAGAACGGGAGGUAAGGUUCUCGGGGAUUUACUCGACGGGCCUGCCUAUGGCGGAAGGGCGGCGUGUCGGGUCUUUAGAAUGGGUCAGUUUGUAGGGUUUGUCAGCCUCGUAGUCUGUGUUGCGGUUGGUGUGAACUUUCCGUCUUCUUGCGCUUGUUUCAUUUUCAAAUGUGUGUUGUCAGUUACAUUUUUUAGAGAGAGCACUUAUUGCGUGAAGGGGCUUGGGCUGCCUUUCCAAUUUUGCCUUUCUAUGUCUGUUGGUUGUAAAGGGUAUUUUUGGUUUUUCAUUCUUCACAACCGUGUUGGUUUUUUGCUUUUUCUUCCUUCGUCUGUUUCAUUUUUCCAGUCUUCCUAGUUUCAUAUCCACUUCACUUUUUUCUGCUUUGUUCUGCUUAUGUGUAUUUUGGCUCUGUGUUUGUGCUGUCUCUCUACUCUGCACCCAUUUUCUGCCAGUUGCUUUUAUCAGGCAUGUCUCAGCGGAGAAGGGAGGGUGUGGGUGCUCCAGCGAUUCCGACGGGGGCGUCUCCCGCCUCUAUUAUUGGGUGACCUUGACAAACCCCAUUUUGAGGGUUUAUCUUGUGUUGAUUUCAGGGGUUUUAUCAAUGAUUCCACACACUUUCUAUAUGAAAAUACAAGAUUUUGUAUUCCUUUCCUAGUUUUGCCCCAUGGAUGAAAACAUGCUUAUUUUACACUAAAAUAGAUACAUUUCUAAUCUUCUCUUGAUGCCAUUCGAUGCCGUUACUUGUGUGUUAAGUGGUUUCAAAAUAUAGGGCAGGGAUGGACCGGAAGAGAGAAGGAGGAUGGGAGCAAAGGAAGGGAGCAUGAGAAUUAAGCCUUGGAAAUCUCAGCAUGGGCGCGUGCGCGCACUUGACGCGUCCGCGUGGAUAGAGCAGCUGGAAGUCGAAGCCAAGAGCCAAGCCACGAGCCGACUUGCGUAGCGGCUAAGCCAUGAUCUUCAUGGGCGCGCACGCGUACGUCACGCCUCCGCGUACAUUACAAGAUGCAUUGGUGGCGCGCACGCGUACCUUGCGCGUGCGCGCCGAUGUUUGAAUAUGAUUUUUUAAGAAGCCACGUGACUUAGGCGUGGAGUUAGUUGGGAAUCCCAUUUUUGGGGAAUGCCUUGGCGGGAAAAGCUUAAGAAGACCAAAGGAGCAAGGGUUAAGGAGUUUUUAGUUCAUUUUUAGAUUUUAGAUAUUUUUUGAGGGAUAGUUAGUUACACUCUUGGAGGAGAAGAGAGAGAUCCCAAGCUCUCACUAGGGUUCUUCUUCAUCCAAUUUCUGAAUUUUCAAUCACUCUUUGGUGAGAUCCAUUCCAAUUCUCACUUUACUUUGUUCAUGUCAUAGAUUUUCUUCUCCAAUUUCAAGUAGUAGUUGUAAUUGCUCAAUUCUCAUAGAUCUAGAAUU